AUACGUAGGUGGCAAGCGUUGUCCGGAAUUAUUGGGCGUAAAGCGCAUGUAGGCGGUUUGGUAAGUCGGUCGUGAAAAUGCGGUGCUUAACGCCGUAUGGCGAUUGAAACUGCUGAACUUGAGUGCAGGAGAGGAAAGGGGAACUCCCAGUGUAGCGGUGAAAUGCGUAGAUAUUGGGAAGAACACCGGUGGCGAAGGCGCCUUUCUGGACUGUGUCUGACGCUCAGAUGCGAAAGCCAGGGUAGCGAACGGGAUUAGAUACCCCGGUAGUCCUGGCCGUAAACGAUGGGUACUGGGUGUGGGAGGUAUCGACUCCUUCCGUGCCGGAGUUAACGCAAUAAGUACCCCGCCUGGGGAGUACGGCCGCAAGGCUUAAACUCAAAUGAAUUGACGGGG
rnacentral:rRNA from 1 species